rnacentral:rRNA from 1 species
AGACAGUGCCUACGAGAGGCAGCAGUAGGGAAUUUUCGUCAAUGGGGGCAACCCUGAACGAGCAAUGCCGCGUGAGCGAAGAAGGUCUUCGGAUUGUAAAGCUCUGUUGCCGGGGAAAAAGGAAGGAAAGAGGAAAUGCUUUUCUUUGGAUGGUACCCGGCCAGAAAGUCACGGCUAACUACGUGCC